GGCUUAAUUGAGUUGAGUUGAGUACUUAUAUGCAUAGCUUGUAGUUUUUAUUUCUGGUCUUGUCUUUCACCAUGUAACCAAAAAGAAAAAAAAUGCCAUUCAUGAAGUUUGCAUGUUUUGCAGGUUAGCUUUCAAUAUCUCUGCCUUCAACUUUAUAAUAAGUUUCUUAGCCUAUAUGCAAUGGUGUUUCCAUUAAGCUCUUUUUCAUUUUAAGUGAUAAUUAUUAGAAUGAUGAACUUAUGGUGGCCUGUAUUUUCUUCCUAAUACGAGAGCUUUUGGGAUAUAAUUAUCAGGGCUUGAUUGUGCUAGCUAUUUUGCAUGUCCAUGGCGUGGUAGUUGUGUAGAUAGAAUAUUGUUGGCAGCUGUGGAUAUUUAUCUAAUUUCUUAUUUUCAUCAGAUGGCAUCAAGGAAAAGGUGGAACAGAGGUUCAAUGAGCUGGGGGAUAUGUGUGA
rnacentral:misc_RNA from 1 species